UAAAGCGUGCGCAGGCGGUUUUGUAAGUCUGAUGUGAAAUCCCCGGGCUCAACCUGGGAAUUGCAUUGGAGACUGCAAGGCUAGAAUCUGGCAGAGGGGGGUAGAAUUCCGCGUGUAGCAGUGAAAUGCGUAGAUAUGUGGAGGAACACCGAUGGCGAAGGCAGCCCCCUGGGUCAAGAUUGACGCUCAUGCACGAAAGCGUGGGGAGCAAACAGGAUUAGAUACCCCAU
rnacentral:rRNA from 1 species